UCCAGGAUAAUGUAGAAGUUCCACCAGAGAGUGGCUGCAAGGCGGGCUCGUCUUGUCUCUGGGAGGAGUGAUGCUCCAUCAUGAGAACAUCUCUCCUGGAUCCAGAGAUACUCAUCCGGAGCCUACAGAUAUGGUUGUGUGAAGCUGACAGAUCGCAUCAUCUGUUUGAAUGCCGACGGACACUGUAGGAAGACGAAAAAGACCAUUCGUUAAAGAAUAGCAAGGAAUUUUGUUCCAGGAAGCAUUAAGGUGGACAUCAUCCGAUCUGAUGAAAGGACUUACAAGGUUUCCUUGAGGAAGAAAUUCUGCUUCCAUUGUAACCUCCACCCUGUGUGAGAUACCUGCCGGCAGCCUCACUUAAAGGUUCCUCAUUGGCUAGGUGGUCCCUACA